rnacentral:rRNA from 1 species
AGUGAACGCUGGCGGUAGGCCUAACACAUGCAAGUCGAACGGCAGCACAGUAAGAGCUUGCUCUUACGGGUGGCGAGUGGCGGACGGGUGAGGAAUACAUCGGAAUCUACUUUUUCGUGGGGGAUAACGUAGGGAAACUUACGCUAAUACCGCAUACGACCUACGGGUGAAAGCAGGGGAUCUCCGGACCUUGCGCGAUUGAAUGAGCCGAUGUCGGAUUAGCUAGUUGGCGGGGUAAAGGCCCACCAAGGCGACGAUCCGUAGCUGGUCUGAGAGGAUGAUCAGCCACACUGGAACUGAGACACGGUCCAGACUCCUACGGGAGGCAGCAGUGGGGAAUAUUGGACAAAGGGCGCAAGCCUGAUCCAGCCAUACCGCGUGGGUGAAGAAGGCCUUCGGGCUGUAAAGCCCUUUUGUUGGGAAAGAAAAGCAGCAGGUUAAUACCCCGCUGUUCUGACGGUACCCAAAGAAUAAGCACCGGCUAACUUCGUG